UACGUAGGGUGCAAGCGUUAAUCGGAAUUACUGGGCGUAAAGCGUGCGCAGGCGGCUUUGCAAGCCAGAGGUGAAAUGCCUGAGCUCAACUUAGGAAUUGCCUUUGGGACUGCGAGGCUUUGAGGACUGGAGAGGUGAGUGGAAUUCCCAGUGUAGAGGUGAAAUUCGUAGAUAUUGGGAAGAACACCAGUGGCGAAGGCGGCGAUCUGGGAAGAUACUGACGCUGAGGUGCGAAAGCGUGGGGAGCAAACAGG
rnacentral:rRNA from 1 species